GACGAACGCUGGCGGCGUGCCUAAUACAUGCAAGUAGAACGCUGAAGGAGGAGCUUGCUUCUCUGGAUGAGUUGCGAACGGGUGAGUAACGCGUAGGUAACCUGCCUGGUAGCGGGGGAUAACUAUUGGAAACGAUAGCUAAUACCGCAUAAUAGUAGAUGUUGCAUGACAUUUGCCUAAAAGGUGCAAUUGCAUCACUACCAGAUGGACCUGCGUUGUAUUAGCUAGUUGGUGGGGUAACGGCUCACCAAGGCGACGAUACAUAGCCGACCUGAGAGGGUUAUCUGCCACACUGGGAAUGAGACACGGCCCAGACUCCUACGGGAGGCAGCAGUAGGGAAGCUUCGGCAAUGGACGGAAGGCUGACCGAGCAACGCCGCGGGAGUGAAGAAGGUUUUCGGAUCGUAAAGCUCUGUUGUAAGAGAAGAACGAGUGUGAGAGUGGAAAGUUCACACUGUGACGGUAUCUUACCAGAAAGGGACGGCUAACUACGUG
rnacentral:rRNA from 1 species